CUGAAAAUGCAACAAGACAAGACUAGGACUUCUUUGGGAACCCACCAAGUCACCACCCAUCUUAGAUGAAGCUUGAAGAAAUCAUGUUAAGUGAGGAUCACUCCCCAAGCUGCUCCUGUGGGCUGAGGACACAGAAGGUAACCAGGCCUAGGCCCUGAGCUCUACAGAAGCUUCUGGAUGGUCAAGGAGACCCAGGACAGGCUGCUGAAGCAAGUGCUAACAAGCAUUUGCAGUGCUUGAAGAAAGCGACAUCUAAAGGACCCAGGCAGAGAGCCCAGGCAGAACCGGGCAGCGUGCAGCCGACUCACACUGAGAAAUGUUCUUCCCAGCAACCGCAAGUGUAAUGGUUGCCAUAUACCGUGGGAGGAGAUAAAGAGGUUUCCGGUUCCACUUGGGAAGCUGGCAGAAUGUGGAAAGAACCUAAUUGCCAGAAAGAAUCUGUUUCCACCACAGAGAUAAGCAGAAAGCUUGGGUAUGGAGCCUGGCAAAGAAACUGCCUGGACAUUCUGGGCAGGUAACCACUUGUGGCACUGUGAGCCGGGCCAUUCUCACAGGCAUGGUGAUGUCUCUGUAGCUUUUAUUUGCAUUUCCCAGAUCAUAGGUAAUGGUGAACAUUUUUUU